GAUGACAAUUGGUCAGGACACAGUCUGAGGUAGCUGUGAGAGAGGAGGGCAUCUCUGGCAGUGGAAAAUUCCGGUCAGAAAAUGGAGGUGCCACUGAGAGCAGCUGACAGGAAGUGGCUGUGUGUGAGAGCCACUCAGUAAAAGUCUAUAAAGAGCUACACAGACAGCAGGACUAGUGUUUCCUCAGGAUAACUGGUCAGUGAGAUUGUCCUGUAUACAGAUUAGAAGAGACGAUUGAGCUUUGCCAAGAGGAGGUGGGCUACAAAAAAAUGUCCAUUGCUCUCCAGAACACAGCCGUCCCAGCAUGCCCAGCAGAUAGAGAAGGUGCCGUGAUAAAUAUUGGCUCAUUUCAGUCCUUUUAAUUAACUCACUUAAUGAUAAACAGGAAAGGAACAUUGGCAAGGGGGAGUCUGCCCAUGAUGAUGGUUUUCAGAGUCUGUUCCUCAUCACACAGCGGAUGUCUGGAUUUACAAAAUAUCUGGCCCAUCUCAAGAUCAGCUCCAGGAAUAAGCUUGUUCUAUAUUCCUAUUGUGUAUUAGCAAUAUGAGGACAUCAGAAUUCAGUACAUAAAUGUUGAAUAACCCUGACACUUCAUAUCUACAAAAGCAGGUGAACAUCUUAAAUUUCACCUGCUUUUGUAUAAAUGAAGUGAAGAUGAAUAUACCCCUUAGUAACAAGACACCUUAGAAACUGUUCUUCUAACUUCUUUAUAUAGAACUGUAUAUGCCUUUUUCCGGUUCCGGUAUGAAUGGU